CAAAACCCUUUCCUGGAGGCUUGUGCCACAUGCUGUCCCAGCAACCACAGAGAAGUCCUCCAAGGAGAGUAGAGUGUCUGCAGGAGGAAGCAGUUAACCAGGGGCCAGGAAAGCCCUAUAAAGGAGGAGACUAAUCAGCUCAGUGUCUGUGGAGCCUGAGAAGGUGAAGACUGUGGCUGGCUGGCUAAGAGAACAACAUCAUGGCGUGGCGCUAUUGUGGGCUGAUGGCCUGAGCUAAAAGCCUUAAGGCAUCUGUUGUGGAGUUGCACUCUUCAGUCCUCCCUCUGCCUGCAAUUUUGUCUUCCCAAGAAGCUUUUCCAAGUCUGUUGACAUUGAAGAGAGCUCUUCAAAUCAAAUGCAUCUGCCAAGCGCGCCAAAAUAAUCAACCAUCAUGCACUUUUUAAAGUGUUCAGUUAAUUGUUUAUCAGUAUGUAGAAGAAAAAUGGAAAUUCAUUCCCGUGUUUAACCACCCUGACGGUUAAGAAGAGUAAAGCAGACGGGGGAGUUUGAGGAGGAGUGCAAGAGAUCCUGCCACUGAACAGGCUGCCAGAAACCAAAAGGGUGUAUAUUUUACACCAUGAAUAUGGAAAACUAUUCUCUUCAUAUGAAUAAACCAAGAAAAAUGGAUAAACUUUGUAUUUCCCUAACAAUUAAUAAGACCAUAUAUAAAAGAAUUACUGAGAUUCCUUUUGUCACAAACACAGUGAAGGUUCCCAAAACUGAUGGUGGGAAAAUAUGUUUUCCUUCAAGAUCCACUUGACCCAUGUCAAUAAGAUCGCCUACAAAUUCAGUGAUGUAAAGAAUGGAUAACACAUGAA